rnacentral:rRNA from 1 species
UCAGAUGAACGCUGGCGGCAGGCCUAACACAUGCAAGUCGAACGGUAACAGGAAGCAGCUUGCUGCUUCGCUGACGAGUGGCGGACGGGUGAGUAAUGUCUGGGAAACUGCCUGAUGGAGGGGGAUAACUACUGGAAACGGUAGCUAAUACCGCAUAACGUCGCAAGACCAAAGAGGGGGACCUUCGGGCCUCUUGCCAUCGGAUGUGCCCAGAUGGGAUUAGCUAGUAGGUGGGGUAACGGCUCACCUAGGCGACGAUCCCUAGCUGGUCUGAGAGGAUGACCAGCCACACUGGAACUGAGACACGGUCCAGACUCCUACGGGAGGCAGCAGUGGGGAAUAUUGCACAAUGGGCGCAAGCCUGAUGCAGCCAUGCCGCGUGUAUGAAGAAGGCCUUCGGGUUGUAAAGUACUUUCAGCGGGGAGGAAGGGAGUAAAGUUAAUACCUUUGCUCAUUGACGUUACCCGCAGAAGAAGCACCGGCUAACUCCGUGCCAGCAGCCGCGGUAAUACGGAGGGUGCAAGCGUUAAUCGGAAUUACUGGGCGUAAAGCGCACGCAGGCGGUUUGUUAAGUCAGAUGUGAAAUCCCCGGGCUCAACCUGGGAACUGCAUCUGAUACUGGCAAGCUUGAGUCUCGUAGAGGGGGGUAGAAUUCCAGGUGUAGCGGUGAAAUGCGUAGAGAUCUGGAGGAAUACCGGUGGCGAAGGCGGCCCCCUGGACGAAGACUGACGCUUCAGGUGCGAAAGCGUGGGNNGCAACAGGAUA